rnacentral:rRNA from 1 species
UUGAUCCUGGCUCAGAAUCACCGCUGGCGUGACGUGCCUAACACAUGCAAGUCGAGCGCGAAAAGAGACUUCGGUCUCUUAGUAGAGCGGCGGACGGGUGAGUAACACGUGGGUAACCUAUCCUCGGGUGGGGAAUAACUUCGGGAAACCGGGGCUAAUUCCGCAUAACAUCCCAAAUUCUCAAGCGUUUAGGAUCAAAGCUGGGGACCCUUCGGGGCCUGGCGCCUGAG